rnacentral:rRNA from 1 species
UACGUAGGGUGCAAGCGUUAAUCGGAAUUACUGGGCGUAAAGCGUGCGCAGGCGGUUAUGUAAGACAGAUGUGAAAUGCCCGGGCUCAACCUGGGAACUGCAUCUGUGACUGCAUCGCUGGAGUGCGGCAGAGGGGGAUGGAAUUCCGCGUGUAGCAGUGAAAUGCGUAGAUAUGCGGAGGAACACCGAUGGCGAAGGCAAUCCCCUGGGCCUGCACUGACGCUCAUGCACGAAAGCGUGGGGAGCAAACAGG